rnacentral:lncRNA from 1 species
AAGUCUUUAGCACUUGAAGAAAUGGGACAUCUUAAUUUUAGCUUCUGAUCACAGUUUAUAAACUAUAAAACAAAUUUCUUUUUAAAGUCUUAUAGGAACAAGAAGUGAUCUUGACUAAGAUUCCCCUGAGAUAGCCUCGCAAGUGAACAGAUAAUAAGAUCACAAAAAUGUGUUUGCCUGUGAUCUUUAGAUGGCCACACACAGCACACAGUCUACUUUCAGGUAAUUUUCAAGUAAAAAUCUCAGUGUAAUCAUAAUGUAUUGAUUUGUUUUGCCUUGGUUCCUUUUCACAAAUAUAUUGUUUUUUUCUUGGGAUAAUGUGUUUUUAAAAACCUCCUUAAAAGAAGUAAUCUGGCAGUCACCCACUGGCCAUUUUGCAGUCCCAGUAUUGUUCCUGUACGGGGAAUACUGGGAGCUCAUGGUCCCCAUGGAUCCAUGAACUCCACCGCUAAUCCCAUGGUAGUACACUUAACAGCAGGUUAAAGGAUGAUGAGUAGAGAUGUGAUUUUGCCGUUAUCAAACAAGUAUUUAUCUAGUGGAGGUACUGAUUUAACUUGCUAGCAGUUUAUUCAUUCCAAGUUAACCACUUCAAAGAGGCAUAUAAAACUAACCAAGCAAAUUGUUUGCUUUUUGUGUAGAUAAAGGCCUUAGGCAAACAAUUUAUACAACACACACCAAUGAGGACAGUCUUUCACUUUGGGUUGUAAUAUGCCAUCAUUCUAUAAUAAAGCAAUGCUUUCUUGGCAAGCAGGGGGUUGAGCACCAUACUUUCUGUUUUCCUAUUUCUGCAUUCCUACAGGAAGAGAGAAGGAAUAUUGUGCUUUUCAUCAACCACAGCAAGAGUCAUUUGAGUUUGAAACACAGCUAGUUUUUAAGGAAACUAUACCAUGGUCUUCUGGAAUGGGAAAAGCUUUUUCUUUCAAGGGACAAAAGGUGAGAUUUUCUUUUUGUCUUCAGCCUUUACCAGUACAAAAGAGUGAACCAUCUCUACAUACAUGUUCAGAGGCAAAUCCGAUGACUAAUUGCAGAGUAAGCAAAUUUCUUGAUUCUGAUCAAACCAGCAACAUGCAUUUGAAUUUAGGUUGGAUUUAGAUGAGCAAGUCAAUAACUUAGAAUAGUGAAGACUGAGGCAAAUCCCAUGGUGACCUUGGUAAGGCAUCCCAUUUCAGAGGACGGACAAGAUGGCUCAGGGCCGGCUCCCUUGAAGACCGUCUUGAGAAAGGGCUAGAGAGGCUUUUAGUGCAAGCCCCACGGGAUCACAAGUUGAAAGAAGUAUUUACAUGUGUCAGUACCCUCUCAUUCCUGAACUUCAACUAGGUUCAGGGUUCAGUAUUGCAAUCACAUUCUCGUAAGUUCUGGCUUUGGGAGGAAGAUGGAGUCAGUAAUGCAUAACUUUGAUUUUUUUAAGUAAUCAUGAUAUUUGGGUAGAAAUAACUCAAUUCCAAAGAAUUAUUUAGAUUAGUCUAAAGUUGUUUUUUUUUCCUGAUUUUGAAAUUGUUACACCAUGACUUUUCAACAAACUCACCUCUUUGUUUAUUUUCUAUUAUGCUUACAUCAGAAUACAUAACAUUCCCUAGCUGGUCUGAAAUCAGGAAUGAACUUUCACAGUCUCAACUCUGGCCAUUUUUCCUUUUAACAAACAAAUAGAAAAGAACUUCCAAGAAUGAUUUUGACCAGAUAGAGUCUGCUCCUUUUAACAAGAUUGUGUGAAGCACCUACUGUGUGCCAGGCUGUGUGUGAUGGAGAGGGAGCAAAUGCAUAAGUCCCUGACAUCAAGAGAUCUUCAACCUAAAACAGAGAAUAAUGGGGGUACUGAAUUUAAUUCAUAAAAAGUAGCACCCCACUUUCUUGUGAUCCCUUGGUUAGAAUCACCAACUUUUAUGAGUUUGUAGAAAAGCCCAGAGUGCUAAAAAGUAAAAAGCAAACAUUCCAUUUCUGAGCAAUUUGGGAGAAACUAAAUUUGGCCCAGUCAGGAGACACGUUGGGGAGUACCAUGUAUUUCCUCACUUGAUCUUUGGCAUUUGGGAGGGAGACAAUGUAGAUGUUUCAUUUCCAUUAUACACAUGACUAAAAUAAAGCUCUGAGGAGUUAAAUGACGAGCCCACGUCACACCACUGAAUCUUGAAGGGGUGGCUGUUGGACCAAGAUCUUCUGACUCUGAAUCCAGUAUUCUUUCCACUACCCCAUAUCCAGCCAGAAGCAAUAAGAAAAAUAUUUGGGAAAACUAACACUGAAGGAGCCAGCAUGUCUCUUUCUUGUUCUCUCAACCUCCAAAACAAUUCACCAGAAAUCUCUGGCAAGUUUCAUAAAUGUCUGAGUCACCUUUGGUGCACAGUUGAUUCUGAAAAAAACUACACACACAUAUGCACACACACACACACACAUUGAUAUAUGCAUAAAAUGUAUUAUCAUCCCAGUAUUGAAAAAUCUUUAUCAUGUUCCAUGUUCUUCUCAAUGCAGUAUGUGCCUAUAACCUAGUUCGGUAACUAUUUGCUGAAUGAAUACAUUAAUGUUUAUCUCCCUUAUGGCUACAUCUUCUUUUACAUCUCAGAAUCAUUCUUCUAUUUCAGUCUGCGGAAUUGAUAAGUCUUAUGCUAAGUUUCCAUUUAAUUUUUUAAGACACUGCCAAACUGUUUUCCAAAGUGGCUGUUUCAUUUUACAUUCCCACCAGCAACAGAUGAAGGCAAGCAUUGAUUUCUGAAAUUGCUUUAGAUAGUGGAAUUGAAAGUCUUCAGCUUUGGUUACAUUUGGUCUUUGAACUGCAACCUUGAAAGAAAACUGUGAAAUACCUAAAUCAUACUAUAUACUCUUAAAGACAAAGAAUGAUGGGAAAUUAAUUGAAAUAAAUGAGGUUUAGAUAACAGAAGGGAUUUGUAACAAGUAAGUGUUCUCAGGGAUAGUAUUUUCAGCUUUCGUUUGCUAGGAAAUUAAAUCAACCAAUUAAAUAAAAUAACUCUCCAUAAAGAUCAGUUAGAUUUGCCAUAUAGAUUGUUCAUUUACGAAAAUGCACUUUGAGAGUUAUGUAACAAAGACACUGGUUUCAUUUUAUCUGCAUUUUAAUACCAUUUAAUCCUCACUAUUAUUAUGCCCAUUUUACAGCUAGGAGAACUGAGUCACAAGGACACAAGUGGAAGUUCUUGAAUUAAAACCAAAAUAAGCCUAAUUCUAACAGCUGAGCUCUUUGCCAAUUUAUUUUAAGUCUCAUUUCCCUGCUGACCAACUCUCCCUUCGUCUUGCUUCAAAAACCACACUAAUUUCUUCUUCUCCUAUUUUCUUUUUUUUUUUCUGAGACAGGGUCUCACUCCCAUCACCCAAUUUUAUACAAUGAUUUUAUUUAAACCUAUAUGGCUGAUAUUGUGACUUCCAUUUUACAGAUUUUUUAAAAGGUCCAGAGAGGUUAAGAAAUUUGCUAACACAGGGCUGGGUGUGGUGGCUCAUGCCUGUAAUCCCAGCACUUUGGGAGGCCGAGGCGGGCAAAUCACGAGGUCAGGAGUUCGAGACCAGCAUGGCCAACAUGGGCCACCGAACAAUGAAAGGGGAAGCCUGUAAGAAGAAUAACAAUGACACGGAAGCCUGCUCCAGCCUGGUGAAAUCCCUUCUGCAGUUUUUACAAGAAGCAAAACAAACAACAGUCUGACCCCUCGGCUCGCCCCCGACGCCACACCCCCUCCUCAGUCCGCAUGUUGGGUCAGGAAGGGCAGUGGUGUGGCCAGAUCCAUGAAAGGGAUUCUAAGAACAAAGCCUGUGCCGUUUACCUGCAGAUCAAAGUUUGCCGUUAAUAACAUGUGUGUUGGAGAGGGCAGAGAGAGGACCGUUGCCCCUGCAUUCCAUUAAAAAGGGAUUAUGGGCUGUCUGACCAGGUAAGCAGUGUGAUCUGUGAACAGAAACUUGUCCUUUGGAAGUGGGGCUGUGGCAAAACAAAAGCCUUAGGAGACGUAAUCAGCAACCGUUCACUGCAGCAGGGCGGGUGGCGCGGUGUCUGUGUUUGUGCCUGUGUGCAAGGGCAUGUGCGAUAUUUUCUGCUGUUGCUAAGAUGGGUUCCCCCUUCACUGGCCUCUCGCCCAAUCGAAAGGUAGCUGCUCCUCAUUGGCUGCCUGGCUUUAUCGAAUGACCAUGACGAGCUGGAGCGAAGCCCACCUCAUUGGCUUAUUCCUAUGGCCAUUGUCAGGGGAGAGCAAAUCAGACACCUAAUCAAUAUUUUGUGAAGUGGCACUAGACUCUUGGCUAAAUUUGCAUUAAAUUUCUCUAAGAAUAUGAAUGUUUUAUUAUGCAAAUCUAAAAAUAAAACAAACAAAAACAAAAUAUUUGUUACAAAGUUAAAUCUUAAUGAUGGUCCCUUAUGAACUUCAACUUUUUAUUUAAGGGCACUAUAUUGCCUUAAUGUGCAUUAAAAUGAUUUCAUUUUGUCUCCAUUCAUACCAUGAGCUGAAAUUAAAUUAUGUCUAAUUGUCAGUGUACAUAGUGGGCAGUAUUGAAUCAACAAAUGCUUAGAAAAUGACCUUUUUUUUUUUGAGACUGGUUCUCACUCUAUCAUCAAGGCCAGAGUGCAGUGGAGCGGAGCAAUCAUGACUCACUGCAGCCUUGACUUCCUAGGCUCAAGCGAUCCUCCCACAUCAGCCUCCAGAGUAGCUGGGACUACAGGCAUGAACCAUCACAUCUGGUUAAUUUUGGUCUUUAGGAGCUCACAGGCAAAACCAACUCUGAAAAACCUUUAAUACUCAGCAUGGGUAUUCACUAAGUUAAGUCUCCACCCUGAGUAGGAAUUGUUUUAAAGCUGCUGUAAGAGUCUAAAUCUUUCCUUCACGUUUUAUUUCUUGCAAAUGUUUGUGAACGUGUUCCUUGCUCUUAGAUUUUGUGAAAUGUAGGCUAGAGUAGAACUUAUAGCACUGAAAUCCAUUUCUGCUUUACUCUUAGACAGGUAGCCAUGAUGGCAUCUCUGGAGCCAAGUCUCUAGAAUGCAAUAGUCUUUGACAUAAUAGUGCUUUUGCAAAGCUGGAGAAUUAGACAAUGCCAAAAUUAGAAAGUGUCUAACAACUUUUACAGUGAGUAAAUUCUGUACAAUCUGAAUUCCUUGAUUGUGAAAAAAUGUCCCCAGGGCCACCCAUUGGGAGGCCUCCCAUACACUUACUAAUCCAACACAGCUUAGAGGCCUUGACAGCUCCAGCGGUGCUGCUUAGACACCCCCCUUAUGAAUAUGCAAAGACAAUCUUUCACUUACAAAAGAAACUGAUAUAGCCAUUAUGGCCUGUGGUUAAUCAAACCUCCAUUCACUUCCCUCUGCUUUGAGAACCGUCAUCAAGAAAAUGUGUUGCUAAGCAAACUUAGCAGUAAGGACCUGGUUCAUGGAGUUUCACUCUGUUGCACGGCUAGAGCGCAGUGGCGUGGUCUCGGCUCACUGCAACCUCCGCCUCCCAGGUUCAAGUAAUUUUUAAAAGAUAUUUGUAUUUUUAGGGCUCAGAAGAUAUAAGUUACAAACAAUAUUUUGACCAUAUUAUGUUCAGUAUGUUAAAUACUGGGGGUGGCCAUUUUCAAGAAAUGUCAGGGUUAGGUCUUCAGUCUGAUUUACAAGUUUUCUAUUUAUUGGAGCAAUUACAGACACUUGUUGAAAUGUCUGGAUUAAUGGUUGAACUUGAACCUAUGCUUUCAAAAUGUCUUGGGAUGGACCUUGGCCACAAGAUGAGUUGUUCCUUUCAAGUUGUUCCAGAAGUUAAAUAUCUGCAGAAGACACAGGCUAAGAGAUGGGGUUCCCUCCAAAUCUGUUCUCCCAAGGGUUUCAGCAUUCCUUCCAGCUCCUUGGAGAACUACACUAUUUGUGAGUGCAAAAAGAACUUGUUUCGACUGCUUCAACCAUAGAGACUCAGCUUUUCAUUAACCUCUUUGUCUCUUCUAGCAUUUUAGGUGGAAAUAUUACCCAGCCUUAUAAUAUUUCAGCCAUUUCCUUCCUUCCCCCUUCAUUUCACACCUUAUUAAAGCAUAACUGAUCAGAAGAUGGGACGAUCCAUUUUUCUUUUUUUUUUUUUUGCCAAAAAUAAAAAGUCUGGAUGGAGUCUUCCCGCAGAGAAGAAAUAAAAAGAGUGUUUGAAUUGUUGGAUGGUUCUGAAGGCUUCUGAAUUUGCAAACGAAUUUUAGAACUAUUUGCAGAGGUCUACUUGCUGCCAGUCAUCUCUCUCUCUCUCUCUUUCUCUUCUGUUUUAUGUCCUGCUAUCUCCAUCAUGCCUCUGUUACUAUGAAGACUUUCUGCCUGUGUAAGUAAGUGAGAGUGUGCAUUCCUUAAUGUUUGAAUCAAGACACACGUCUGCAUGCAUUUCUAAUCUAAGAAGCCUAUAGCAGUUACUACAACUAUCAAUUAGUCAGCAAUAGCUGAGAACUUCAACGCCUCUGAAGGAACAAAGGUGGAAAGACAGGCAGAUACUCCAGCAUCUGGAUCAUGCAACUUGCUGGCUACAAAUAAUGGCACCUUCUCUGGCUUUUAUCUGUGUUUAGUCCUCAAAUCUAUGUAACAUUAUGGGUUAUUAAUGUAUCCAGCCACAUAAUUAGAUAUGGAGCAUCUAAGACAUAUAUGUUUCUUUGGCAUUAUUGGGAAUAAAAUGCUCCAGGAAAUUGAGUUUAAUGAAAAGCAUUAGGAUGUAAUAGAAAGAGUAAAGACUUUUGAACCAAAAGAUGUGGGUGGAAAUCCUAACUCUACCACUUACUGACUCUUUGGUAAUUGAGCAAACCACUUUUCUGAGCCUUGACUUCCUCAUCUCUAAAAUGAACAAAAUGAUACCCCUUUAUUGAGGGAAUAAAAUAUUUGCCCCUGUGUUCAGUACCUUUUGGCUUCUCUUCUAUUCAUUAAGGUGUGUUGAUGUAAUACAUGAGCCUUGGCCAAUUUGCCAAGCCACAAUAUAAUUUCAUUUUUCUACUUUUAGGAAGUGACAAUGUUUGUCUGGUAUAACUACAUAAAAAUGUAGACACAUCAAAGACAUUAAAUAUGUUUCUCCUUUUUCUUGUCACAAGUAUCAAGUCUACAUUCAGCCAACAUGAGUGCCAAGAACACCCUUAUUGAAUGAUAGAUUUAGUGUGUGGUUUAGUGAUGCUAAGUUCUCCUGCGUGAUUUCUUUCUUUCUCCCUCCCUCCUUUCCUUCCUUCCUACCUUCUUUUCUCUCCCUCCUUCUCUCCCUUUCUUCCUUUCUUCCUUCUCUUUUUCCCACCUGCCUGCCAUAACGAUCAUGUCUUGCCUGAAAGGACAAUGAUUAAUAGCAUUUCCUUACAUUUGUAUAGUUUUUUUAAGUACUGUCCUCUAUCCAUUUCAACGAUUUCCUUUGUCGUCUCACUUGAUCCUUCAUACCAGCCCCCAUGAAAUGAAGCAGAGCAGCCAUUUCUAAAAUUAUUGAAAAGGAGGUCACGCAAUGAGUUAGUAACAAAGCCAGGACAAUGAGCCAUGCCACUCAUUUGUUUAUUCAUUCAUUCAUUUAUUCAUAUUGAGUUCUGCACUGUAAAAUUCAUUACAGGUUCUUACAGGGAGUCAGACUUCAUGCAUGCCAGAGUUCUGUACCAGAGGGCCUCACCAGUGGCAGGUGCUCCCGCCCAGCACGGAGAAGUCAGUCAGGGCGUGAGUGAAUUAAUGCAUGAAAUUCAGGAUUGUACUAUAGCAUACUUCCUCCAGAACAUAGCAGGAACCUGGAGGCAGAAGGGCCAGUGCACUGACUGCAUCGGCCUCUUUCCUUCUGCCCCUGAAGUCUACACUGAAUGACAUUGGGUCGAUUUUCCUGGUCAGACUUAGUAAGAGACUUGUUAGGGGCAACAGCAGAGGAGGGCUUGAUAUUUGGCUCUUUGCUGAUUUGGAGACAAAGAGGCAAAGGGGAACAGUUCUUAUCAAAACAUUUAAUUAUCUAGACUCUCCUAAGACAUAAAUUCUUCCUGCAAAUAUCUCUACAUGCUUUAAAAAUAUUCAGAGUAACAGGUUUCCACUUAUAAGUUAUGAAGUUUAAGAAUGGUUAAGUACUCUCUGUAGUCUGAAAAAAAAUAGCAUUGCAUCUAAAGGAAGCUAACUUUCUCUAGAAGAACAAUUUUAACAGUGGGGGAAUCUGUCCCCACACUUGGGCCAAUGUUUAUGACAAACCAUCAAGCUCAUUUUUUGAUGUAGUUACCAUAAAAUUUUAAACUGUAUAUGUGACCUGCAUUUUAUUUCUAUUCGGCAAUACUACUAGAGAUGACAUUGCAGCAGAAACCCCGUAAAACAUGGCUUAUGCUACGAUUCACACUGCUUUCCUCAAAAUCUAGUGCAGGUAAGACAGUCUGGGAUCAGCUUUAAGGAUAUAUAGUGAAAUUCACCACAGCAGAAACCGUAAAACUUGUAGCCAAAUUUAAAUGGAACUAAGGGGAGGAAGAAACAAUGAAAAUACAAAAGAACGGAAAAUUCCAAAACCGUAACUUUUUGAUCCUAGAAAAUAGCGUAUGCAGUCCUCUACUGGAGACACAUACUGAGACACUACCUCCUCCCACCUCAAAUCCUUCCUAUCCAGCUCCCUGAUGAAGACCCAUCAGGUCACUCCUCCCAUUAACUAUCCUCCCAUUAACUAUCCUCAGGAGACACUAAAAAGUACUGAGCUUGGUAAUGAGAGACAGACACUCCUUCUGCUACUAUGGAUGGAUAGUUACUGAAGGUCACUAAUAUCUGAUGCAAAUUUAUGGAAAGCUGUUUUAAUAUUGCAUCAAGUCAACAUAAUGACUCUCUUUGUAAAAUCUGUUAUAUUCUACAAAGCAUUUCUAACAACAACCCAAGGAAAUUAGUACUAUUAUUAUUAUCUUUCUUUUGAAGAUGAGAAGACUGCAGUAGUGAGCUGAAGUAGCCAUUCAGUGUCACAGCUGGUAAAUGGCAAGACCAGGACUGGAUCCCUUCCCUUUCCAUUCGCUGCCCAGCUCACAUUUCUGCACCAACAGACUUGUUUUACUGGUCUGCAUUUGAGUGCUCUGUGCACUUCUGUGUACCAUUUAUUCAUUUAGACUGCACAUGCUCUGAGGGAGUGGCCCCUCCUUCCAUUUGGUCUUACAGCCCUGUGACUGUGCACUUACAGUUCCCGGUUCUCUACAGAGAACAGUCCAUUACGGAUCACUGAUUUGCUCAGAAGCAGGCCCUUGAGAUUCAUCUCUCUAAAGGGAUUUCUCUAACGUAAUGAUAUGUGUAAGCCAGGAACUUCGGAGCCCAGACAGUGCACCUCAAGAGCCUGGUCAGCACUGGUCAGAAGACCCCCCAUAAAACCCGAAAUCUUGACAUUUCCAAAACCUGUCUGCAUAUGUGCCUUUACUUCUUUUUUUCUUUUUUCUUUUUUUUU